ACGGAGGGUGCAAGCGUUAAUCGGAAUUACUGGGCGUAAAGCGCGCGUAGGCGGUUCGCUAAGUCGGGUGUGAAAGCCCCGGGCUCAACCUGGGAAUUGCAUUCGAAACUGUCGGGCUAGAGUAUGGUAGAGGGGGGUAGAAUUCCCGGUGUAGCGGUGAAAUGCGUAGAUAUCGGGAGGAAUACCAGUGGCGAAGGCGGCCCCCUGGACCAAUACUGACGCUGAGGUGCGAAAGCGUGGGGAGCAAACAGG
rnacentral:rRNA from 1 species